rnacentral:lncRNA from 1 species
UAUAAGAAUCCAAGUGAGGAACAGUGGCGAAUUUAGUCCAAAAAUCUCUAUUUCCAUAUUCCUUCAUAAGCCAAAUAUCUUGUCCACGAAGGAGGCACAAGCAAUCCCUCAAAACCCCCAAGGUUGACGAAUUAACCAUUUCUAUCCCUUCUCCACAAUCAGGUUGCAAAAUCUCUUGAUAGGACUCUGUCCCUAAGUCAAGAGAAACAAUGGGCCACACAGUCACCGAAUCAUCGAGACAUACCAACCAAUUAAGUUUGCCACUUACAAAUUUUCCCAAUGAUCGAACAGGAGGAAAGUCAUCUAUCAAUCUCCAAGAAUUGGUACCCAAGGUAUGAACCUCCACUUGAGUUUUGUAAUCAGG